UACGUAGGGUGCGAGCGUUGUCCGGAAUUAUUGGGCGUAAAGAGCUUGUAGGCGGUUUGUCGCGUCUGCUGUGAAAAUCCGGGGCUCAACCCCGGACUUGCAGUGGGUACGGGCAGACUAGAGUGUGGUAGGGGAGACUGGAAUUCCUGGUAUAGCGGUGAAAUGCGCAGAUAUCAGGAGGAACACCGGUGGCGAAGGCGGGUCUCUGGGCCGUAACUGACGCUGAGGAGCGAAAGCAUGGGGAGCGAACAGG
rnacentral:rRNA from 1 species